rnacentral:rRNA from 1 species
CCUACGGGGUGCAGCAGUGGGGAAUAUUGGGCAAUGGGCGCAAGCCUGACCCAGCAACGCCGCGUGAAGGAAGAAGGCUUUCGGGUUGUAAACUUCUUUUAUCAGGGACGAAGCAAGUGACGGUACCUGAUGAAUAAGCCACGGCUAACUACGUGCCAGCAGCCGCGGUAAUACGGAAGGCCCGAGCGUUAUCCGGAUUCAUUGGGCUUAAAGGGAGCGUAGGCGGGCGUUCAAGUCAGCUGUAAAAUCGCGCGGCUCAACCGCGCCCCGCAGUUGAAACUGGACGCCUUGAGUUCACAACAGGCAGGCGGAAUUCGUGGUGUAGCGGUGAAAUGCAUAGAUAUCACGAGGAACCCCGAUUGCGAAGGCAGCCUGCCGGGGUGCGACUGACGCUGAGGCUCGAAGGUGCGGGUAUCAAACAGGAUUAGAUACCCUUGUAGUC